rnacentral:rRNA from 1 species
AUGCACUUUCCCAAGGAGCAAGCAACAAACAAUACCGCAGAGUAUGAAGGUUUGCUUGCCGGUCUCAGGAUCGCGGCAGGCCUUGGGAUCAAGAAGCUCAUUGUCAGGGGUGAUUCACAGCUUGUCGUCCGCCAAGUGAACAAGAAUUAUCAGAGUCCGUUGAUGGAAGCUUACGUUGAUGAGGUGAGAAAGCUAGAAGAGCACUUUGACGGCCUACAGAUGGAACAUGUUCCAAGAGCUCAGAACGACAUUGCCGACGGCCUGUCGAAGUGCGCCGCACUUAAGUUACCUGUGGAACCAGGGAUCUUUGUGCUCAAACUGACUCAACCGUCUGUAACGCCAUCAACUUGA